GUCACACUAUCAUUAACUGAAUCCAUAGGUUAAUGAGGCGAACCGGGGGAACUGAAACAUCUAAGUACCCCGAGGAAAAGAAAUCAACCGAGAUUCCCCCAGUAGCGGCGAGCGAACGGGGAGGAGCCCAGAGCCUGAAUCAGCAUGUGUGUUAGUGGAAGCGUCUGGAAAGGCGCGCGAUACAGGGUGACAGCCCCGUACACAAAAGCGCAUGUGCUGUGAGCUCGAUGAGUAGGGCGGGACACGUGGUAUCCUGUCUGAAUAUGGGGGGACCAUCCUCCAAGGCUAAAUACUCCUGACUGACCGAUAGUGAACCAGUACCGUGAGGGAAAGGCGAAAAGAACCCCGGCGAGGGGAGUGAAAAAGAACCUGAAACCGUGUACGUACAAGCAGUGGGAGCACAGGUUUACCUGUGUGACUGCGUACCUUUUGUAUAAUGGGUCAGCGACUUAUAUUCUGUAGCAAGGUUAACCGAAUAGGGGAGCCGGAGGGAAACCGAGUCUUAAU
rnacentral:rRNA from 1 species